rnacentral:misc_RNA from 1 species
GAUGAAGAACGCAGCGAAAUGCGAUAAGUAGUGUGAAUUGCAGAAUUCAGUGAAUCAUCGAAUCUUUGAACGCGCAUUGCGACUCCUGGUAUUCCGGGAGGCAUGCCUGUUCGAGCGUCAUUAAAAUCACUCAAGCUUAGGUUUACCUAUUGCUUGGUCUUGGAGAUGGAAGCCAAUUUAUUGGAAUCCUCUUCGAAAUUCAAUGGCGAAGACCCUUGCUCUCCCAAGUGUAGUAAUAACUUAUGUCACUGAAGGAAGCGAGAAAUCUUCUGCCGUAACCCCCAUAUUUUCUAUGAUUGACCUCGGAUCAGGUAGGGAUACCCGCUGAACUUAAGCAUAUCAAUAAGCGGAGGA